AAAGAGGAGUCUGGAUGUUAAUCUGCUGGGGAAUAACUGUUUUAGCUGGAAACACCAAAAGCUCAGUUUUUGAGAGAUGAAGUUGAAGGUGUCAGUCUGUCAUCCAGACUGAAAUAUCAGGCAUGCAGAAAUCUGAUGGGAAACAGUCCUCAGGUGUUAAAGACAGAUAACCUACAUUGAAACAAGUGCCAAGGACCCUCCCAUGAAUGUGGACAAAGCCUUUCACGAACUGAUGCGCGUCAUCAGGAAAUCCCAACAAAAAAGAAAUUGGAGGACACCAGGAGGAUAUUAUAAUACCGGCAGGCAUGUAAUUGGGCUACGGUUUUCUACAUGAAUGGCAUGUUUUAACGGGCACUGCACUAGUAAACAAACUAAAUAUGCGUCUUUUGCAACAAAGUAUGAACAUAACUUCGAUAUAAUGUAGAGGGAAUGCACCGACAGCAGUCUAUUUAGAAGAAGAUCUCCAAAUUCCUGUAGCAUAGCAGCUAUUUUCCGUUUCCAUUAGUUUUCUACCCGAAACUAGAAAGUUUCUAGGUCGGAAAUCGCCUACAGAGUGCCGCUCAGACAAUGGCAGAAGUGGCGUCGUCAAGUUAUGAGGUUAUGUGCCAUCAAAAUGAUUUUGGAAACAUUAUGUUAAGGUCAAAAAACUGUUAAGGGUGCCUUUAAACUGAGUCAGGCCAGCUUAACUGUAACUUAAUGCUACUUUUAAUCCUUUACUGUAUAAUAAAUGAAAAGUGCAUCGUGGGAUGUGAGGGAUGGAUUUGUUUGGAUAUAUUAAUCAGCUCUUGCCCCAUUCAAGACCACAGAAGCUUCCAGAAACCCACCCUCUGCCUCUGUCCAUAUUCUGUCCGGCUUCAUGCUAGACAUGACAGUCUUUCAGUUUUACUGAGUCUCCCCAUCCUCUCUAGCCAUAUGUGUGGGCUUACUUGGACAAAGUGUGCAUGCUGUUCCUCAGUAAGCCGUAGUUUCCACACAGCAAUCAUUUCUCUAAUUGCAUACUGGUUGUAAGGAGACCCAAUGCCUACUUUCGCUUCACUUCUGUGAGGAGAAGAAGGAAAGCAACAUUACAUCACCAAGGCAACAGACCAAAAGUGCUCUGAGGUACUGCACUUACUGAAGACUGGCUAAUGGCUCAGAGAGUUCUCAGAAACUGGUGGGCAGUGUCUUGGGGAAUUUAAGGCUGAGUCAACCGCUAAAGGUAUUCAAGCACCUCAUGUCAGAGGACUCUACAGGUUAUAAAGGACUUUGCACAUAGAGUAUCUGUAAGGACAAUUAUUAUAUCAGAACUAAAAAUUUGACAUACAAGUGUUUAUAAUGACACAUUUUUUUAAAAGCUAGCAUAAUACACUAACAGUUUACAUCCGUUUAUGUCUUUUGUCAGAGACACAGCUUUGCAUUAUCUGUGUAAAAUCAAAGCUGAAAUUGCACACAGACUGCCAUCCACAACUGCUCAUGAAUAGCAAAUCCAGAGCUCUUCCUU